rnacentral:rRNA from 1 species
AUACGUAGGUGGCAAGCGUUGUCCGGAAUUAUCGGGCGUAAAGCGCGCGCAGGCGGUCCUUUAAGUCUGAUGUGAAAGCCCACGGCUCAACCGUGGAGGGUCAUUGGAAACUGGGGGACUUGAGUGCCGAAGAGGAAAGUGGAAUUCCAAGUGUAGCGGUGAAAUGCGUAGAGAUUUGGAGGAACACCAGUGGCGAAGGCGACUUUCUGGUCUGUAACUGACGCUGAGGCGCGAAAGCGUGGGGAGCAAACAGGAUUAGAUACCCUGGUAGUCCACGCCGUAAACGAUGAGUGCUAAGUGUUAGGGGGUUUCCGCCCCUUAGUGCUGCAGCUAACGCAUUAAGCACUCCGCCUGGGGAGUACGGUCGCAAGACUGAAACUCAAAUGAAUUGGCGGGG